rnacentral:rRNA from 1 species
UACGGAGGGUGCGAGCGUUUAUCCGGAAUUACUGGGUUUAAAGGGUGCGUAGGCGGCCCUGUAAGUCAGGAGUGAAAGUUUGCGGCUCAACCGUAAAAUUGCUUUUGAUACUGCGGUGUGCUAGAAUUAGGAUGAGGUCAGCGGAAUGUGGCAUGUAGCGGUGAAAUGCAUAGAUAUGCCAUAGAACACCAAUUGCGAAGGCAGCUGGCUAGACCUGAUUGAUGCGUGAGGCACGAAAGCGUGGGGAGCGAACAGG